UGAAUUUACAAAUACACAUUUACCCUAUUCCAACGAGUUCUAGUUACAACCUCUAAUAGAACUUUGAACCAUUCCAAGAUGCUACAUUACAAGUCAUUCAAGAAUGUCACAAGUUAUUUGAAUCCUAAGCCUAAUGGACUAUGAACUACUUUUUUCUCAAAGUACCAAAGUUGCCUCGGUUUUGCUCUUCAUUCUUCACCAUCCGACUUUCACUUUGCAGCAAAACCAAACAUGCCAAGCUUAGCCAAAAACAUCUUAAAAAAAUAAUUUGAUCUUCAAGUUUGGCUAGCUCCACUUUGCUACCAUUUAUUAUCCACUCAUGGAAGCCUCUAGUGAUAUGUUUUUUUGUUGCAUCUACCACAUGUACCACCUAUUCAAGAACAACCUAAAACCAUUAAAGCAUCAAGCCAAAGACAAGUUUUGAACAAGCAAUUCUCAAAGUUACUCGAAAUAAAACUAAUCAAGAUUACUACUAGGAGACCAAAUCUCUUUCUAAACAAAUGAAAAUAAAGAAAUAUUCAAGAGAAUAAACAAGUUAAGGCAGUCCAAACAUGAUGACACAAAUUCAAAGCAAUUCCAAAUUCAAAGGUUGGCCAAGCAUCAAACACAAGAUGGAAUUCACAUGGUUAUUAGACAAAUCUAAUUCAAAUGUUGUUUUUGCAUUGUCGUUUUAUGCUAAGUGAAAAUAAAGAAAAAAUUGUAUCAGUAGGAUCCCACGGUUCACACUCGGAAAACCCAAGGAAAUUAUGAGAUUUUUCCACCUCACAUCCACCUCACCCUAACAAUUCUCUUAAUUGAAGUCAGAUCUAACUUACUCAAUCUACCACUCCAUAAUUUUCUCAGUCAAUCACUCCCUAAAUUUCCUCAACCAUUGAGUAAAGUUCCACAACCCUAAAACUCCUCUAACAGUCACACAUUACAUAGUCCAACCUCUACCUAUAAAACCUUGCAACCGAUGCAUUUAAGAAAAAACCCAAAUUCUCAUGCUCAAAGAAACUAAAACACAAACAACAACAUCCACACAAGCACAACAUGCAAACACCUACAACAAUUUCUCAGCAGCACAAUAACAUACCACAUAACAAAUAAUUAAAAUUGAAAUAGGGGAAGAAGUUCGGAAAUAGCAAAAAGUAAGAAAGAAGAAGUUCGAAAAUAGAAAAAAGUAAGAAAGAAGAAGAGAAUGAGUGAACAAUAACCUAGAGAUUUCGCUAGACUCCUUACUUCCUCAUCGUUGCCGAUGGCCGAAGGAUGUAAAGCCCUAAAAACCCGUGUGUAGUUAUCAAAGAAUUUAAUCAAGG
rnacentral:lncRNA from 1 species